CGCCCUUGAGUUUGAUCAUGGCUCAGAAUGAACGUUGGCGGCGUGGAUUAGGCAUGCAAGUCGAGCGAGAACUGUAGCAAUACAGGGAAAGCGGCGAAAGGGAGAGUAAUACGUAGGUACCUACCCUCGGGUCUGGGAUAGCUGCGGGAAACUGCAAUUAAUACCGGAUGAUGUCUCUGGACCAAAGGUGUGAUUCCGCCAGGGGAUGGGCCUGCGUCCUAUUAGCUAGUUGGUGUGGUAAUGGCGCACCAAGGCUAAGAUGGGUACGGGGUGUGAGAGCAUGCCCCCGCUCACUGGGACUGAGAUACUGCCCAGACACCUACGGGUGGCUGCAGUCGAGGAUCUUCCGCAAUGGGCGCAAGCCUGACGGAGCGACGCCGCGUGCGGGAUGAAGGUUUUCUGGUUGUAAACCGCUGUCAGUGGGGAGCAAAUGCAUCGGGGUUCUCCCCGGUGUUUGAGCGAUCCGCAGAGGAAGCACAGGCUAAUUCCGUGCCAGCAGCCGCGGUACAAGGGCG
rnacentral:rRNA from 1 species